UACAGAGGGUGCGGGCGUUGUCCGGAAUCACUGGGCGUAAAGGGCGCGUAGGCGGUGGCCUAAGCGUGCGGUGAAAGCCCGGGGCUCAACCCCGGGUCGGCCGUGCGAACUGGGUCACUCGAGCACACUAGAGGCGAGUGGAAUUCCGGGUGUAGCGGUGGAAUGCGUAGAGAUCCGGAAGAACACCAGUGGCGAAGGCGGCUCGCUGGGGUGUAGCUGACGCUGAGGCGCGACAGCGUGGGGAGCAAACAGG
rnacentral:rRNA from 1 species